ACAUGGCAUCUCACUCGGAUCAGCGGCCUUUUGCCGCUUCCUUCAUUGCACUGCGUUCUGUUGCUUAUGCUGAGGCUGUUCUCCAUGCGUGUGUUGGUGGAAUGUAGAUUCAAGAGAAGGUUGCUUUGCCGGAAGCCACGCUCCCUAGGACUACCUUACCUGCCUUUUAAUGUACUCUGCGUUCUGUCUUGCUCCCUCACACAAAUCAGGAAGAUGCUGCGCUGAGUAGGCGGCAUAUGCGGGACCUGCAACAGUGUGUGUGUGCAUGCGUUUGCGAGUGCAAAAGGAAGAGGGAAUUAUAAUAAUAAUUAUCAGAAAGGGGAGACAAGGGCAGAGACAUGCUGCUGCCUGCUGCAGCCGCCUGCGGCUGAAAGAUAAGCCAGCAACACAGGCAGCAACAACAACAAGAUGUCUCUUACUUUUAAACCCCCCACUCUCUAAAACUCCUCAUCGUUCUGGGUCUCGUGUCUGCGUUUAUGCUGCACUUGAAUUCUCACCAACAAGAAUAUAUUUAUACCCAUGAACAGAUGCAUGCAAGAACAUGCAUCUACAUGUGAUUAUUUCCCUUUUUUUUAAACAAAAUGUUAAAUGUUUUACACAAAACCGACCAGCGAAAGGGACGAGGGUCACAACACAGAACACCAACGCACUCUCAUACAUACACACCAGCGGCGUGAACAUGUAAUAAAAAAAAAACAACAAACAAAAAUACACUGUUUCUAAUCACAAAUAAAAAAAUAUUAUUGC